AGCCCCUUUGUGCGGCGGGGGCUGCGGAGUGCUCCCUCCAAGACCGGUUGCACCCCGCUUUCCUGGCCAGGACUCUGGGCGCGGCAGCUACAAAGACGACGCCGGCUGCGCUCGCGGGACCAGAGGGAGGGAGGCUGCGGACGAGUGCGGGGAGGAGUUUGAGAUGGGAGGCGCUUGCAGGGGCUCCCCCAGUUCUGCGCUGUGAGCCGGGGCACAAAGAGCCCUCUGCACUAGCGCCGCAGGACCGCGGACCCGAGGUAAGACGUCGCCCCAUCCUAGAAGCCUUCCUUCCCAAGUGUCCUUGUCCCCUAACGGGGAACAGCCUAAUUCCCCAAGGCUGGGGUCGAGGGUAGGUCCCAGAGUCCCAGGGCUGGGUUCAGGGAUGCAACGCCGCCUGAAGUGUCCCGCAUUGGAUGGAUGAAGAGGCUUUACAGCCUGUAAUUCUCAAACACAGCCAAGACUCUGGCUGGGAUGGGGGGUGAGGUCAGGCAAGGGGAGGAUGCUUUAGGAGUCCAGUGCGAAUGGGGAUCUUGCAAUCAUGAUUAUGAGGGGGAACAAAGACCCUUUCCUUCCGACGACACAAGACACAAUUUGGGAGGUGGACCCGCGGACCUUCUCGGUCCACCAGGUUAGCAAUUAACUGGCCAAGCCACGGGCAGAGCCAGAGGGUCUCGGAACUGGAGGUGGGGGUGGGGCGGUGGGGCAGGGUCCUUGAGCUCCCCUUCCCUCAUACUCAGCCCGCCCCCGACCCAACCCCCCGAGCCUGCCAUUCCUUCACUUCCCAGAUGUCCGGCGUCAAAUUUGGCUCCAAAAGGAUGGAGAGGGCUGGUAGGUAACCCACCCUCGUUGAAAACAACAGUGACAUCAGUUUAUGGAGAGGUUACUCUACGCAGGGACGUGCUUGGUGCUUUGCAAGCGUUAUCACAACAGUCCCACGAGGUGGUAAGAAACAACCCCAUUUUAAAGAUGAAGAAAUGGAGAUUCAGAGAGGGUUAUCGACACCUCCAAGGUCACACAGCCAGUGAUUGUGAAUCCAGAUAUGUAGGACUCUAAAGCCCAUGUUGCAUCUCCUAAAGGGUCUGAGGAGAUCCCGCAACCCACCAGCUCGAUUCUCUCUACCUCUCCUCGGCUCCAGGACACUCCCUGGAGAGGCUGGGGAUUUGGGAAGAAAGGGGCCAGACCUUUCCCCUCUUCCAGCGGAGGGCCCUGGGGUAGAGAAAUUGUUUCUGGGAUUGUGCAGGAGGAGGCCUGGGGGGCGCGCCCUGGAUUCCCCACCCUCAUCCCAGGCUCCGGAUCCGAGGCUGCCCGGCGCCUGGGAUUGUUGGCGCGCACACCCCACUGCAGUGCCGCCGCGGGGAAAACGCCCCCACCUGCUGCGGCGGGAGGGGAGGAAGUAUGAGAGGGAGGACUGCGAGAGAACUUGAGGGAACGGCUUUGUUUUUUCUCGGGGCCAGGCUGGGACUGAGCACGACUCAAAGCAAAACACUUGCUCUGGACUCAGUGCUUUGCAAAGCGCAUUCCCAUUUGGGAGCAUCUGGGAGCCCCGCGAUGGCCCAGGGAGGGAGGCGGGGGUAGACGCAGGGCAGGGAUGAGUAAUUCCACUUGACAGACAGGGAAACCUGAGGACGGUGGUUCUCAGACUUUAGGGGCGUUGCUUCCAGUAAGCAGAUGUCUGAGCCACGUGGCAAGGAGGAUGAGUCAGCAGGUUUGGGGUGGGGCUGGGUAUCUGAUGUUUACUCAGACCUCCUCAUCCUCAUCCUGCAGGUGGGCAGAUGCUUGGUUGAGGGAAGAGUGCCCCCACCUCGCCCCUCAACUUUCUAGGCAGAAUCAUCCAGCAGCCUGGGCAAACCAUUUCCGGACACUUUGCCAGCUCCUAGCUUUGUGUGGCAUUGAAUUGAUCCCACUCUAAGUUUGGUUAAUUUCAUGUUGAAAGCAUUUUAUGUAAACACCUUCCAUGUCCCCCAUGCCCGCCUAUUUUACUAUUUAGUGAUCCUUGCCAUUGAGAACUGUUCUGAAAUCUACUCAUUUUAAGCCUUAACCCUACUCCUUAACAGGGAAGAGUGGUGAAGUCUUCACAGUCCCCCAAAACAACCAUAACCCCUUACCGCCAGCUUUAGGAGAAUAAUUCUCUAUGCUUGCAUUAAAAAUGAGAAUUUUGGGCUGGGCACGGUGGCUAACACCUGCAAUUCCAGCACUUUGGGAGGCUGGGGCGGGAGGAUGGCUUGAACCCAGGAGUUCAAGCCAAGCCUGGGCAACAUGGUGAGACCCCUGUCUCUAAAAUAAAUAAGUAAAAAUAAAUGAGAAUUUUUAUAAUUUUUUCCGAUUUUAAAAGACAAAUUCAAUAAGUUUAAUAAAAUGCAUGAUAAUUGUAAAGGAUUUAGAAAAGACAAAAAAAAAA
ensembl:lncRNA MIAT myocardial infarction associated transcript